GCGCUCACCUCGUGACCUUUGUCAGUGUUGGACUAAGGCACGCGGUGAAUGCCA
rnacentral:pre_miRNA from 1 species